AUGGAUGAGAUGGUCAAGUCUGCCAUUGUCGGGGAAGGAGUAAGCUGGAUCUUUUCUAGUAUUGCAGCCGCCAGCAAAACCGAGGAGAAACCAGAUUUAGAAGCAACAAGAUGUGGUGGCCUAGAAAGGCUGGAGAUGGCGCGCAUCAAAAUGGAGGCCGCGCUCCAGACAUCCAACAAGUGGCAGAUCACUGACACGUCACUGCUCGAUUGGCGAAAGAAGCUGAAAUACGCUUCCCAGGACUGCAACGACGCAGUACGCAGAUGUAGACAACUUUCUCGUGAAGAAGACGAGGCGGAGCAGGUCGUAAGGAAAUCCUCAUUUCCUAGACGUUUCGCUCAUGCGACCAAGGCAUUCAUUUCCUCUCGUGUUGGCCGCAACAAUGAUGAUUGCUCUAUGGGCAGUGCCACCGUUCAAAGAUUCGAGAGGCUCGCGGAUGGUGCUGGUGAAUUUAUGAGAUAUGUGCAGCUUGGGUCACCACGACAACACCUAUUCUUUGACCCUCUCAUUGGGCAUAUCUUUGCAGGGAAAUCGUUGUUGUAUCAUGUGUUGGACCCAGGAGGCCAGUUAAAUAUAUUCGGUAUACGCUUAAUGAGCUUCGAGGACAGAGGGUUAGAGGCCAUGGCAACCUUCGUAUAUCAAGAUUGCAAGGCGCCCAAGAACAAUUUCCGCCUCGGGUUCAUGUUGCGUGUUUCAGAGAGUACAGACAUAAUCGGAACUACAAUCAAGUGCUUGCGACGGGUGACGCCUCACUUCAAGUCUACUGCAGAAAUUGUCAUCAACGAGAUCACGCAGCUCCCCACGCAAGAUUUCUUCUGUGUGCCGCAACCGCAACUGGGGAUUUUAUUCAUGCCUCAUCACUCACUGGAGAAUCCCGAGUCCACAAGCGAGGGCUCCGCGAUAGAGGCGAUCGAUGGAGAGAAGCAACACCUCACCCAUGUAAAUGUUCACCCGGACCAACUCGAUGAAAUGCUUCUCCCGAAGGCGAUAGAUUAUCUCUAUCAUAACACUGAAGUUACAAAUUACCAGAUAUGUUGGACAUCUAACCACGGCAGUGCACACCUAUAUGUGGAGAACACAAGGCUCGCUGGGCCAUGCAUAGCCCUUAAAUCCACAAGACGAGAUAUUCAUAACAUGUUUCGUCAGAAGCAGCAGGAUCAACAAAUAAAGAAAGUGCAGUUGAAGCAGGUUGCCAGAGAUUACCUCAAACUAUGGGUCGUGCGUUCCUCUGAGAGGGUGCGGAGCUUGUUCUCGGCAUGGAUCGAUUAG
rnacentral:rRNA from 1 species